UACGAAGGGGGCUAGCGUUGUUCGGAAUUACUGGGCGUAAAGGGCGCGUAGGCGGCUUCGCUAGUCGGGCGUGAAAUGCCUGGGCUUAACCCGGGAAUUGCGUUCGAUACUUCGAGGCUAGAGUGUGGGAGAGGUUGGUGGAAUUCCCAGUGUAGAGGUGAAAUUCGUAGAUAUCGGGAGGAACACCAGUGGCGAAGGCGGCGACCUGGGCCAAUAUUGACGCUGAGGUGCGAAAGCGUGGGGAGCAAACAGG
rnacentral:rRNA from 1 species